GGUCUAAACUUACAACCAAUUUUUUAUCAACUUGUCACACCAGAUUAUUACUAAUAGUCAAAACUUUCAACAACGGAUCUCUUGGUUCUCGCAUCGAUGAAGAACGCAGCGAAAUGCGAUACGUAAUAUGAAUUGCAGAUAUUCGUGAAUCAUCGAAUCUUUGAACGCACAUUGCGCCCUCUGGUAUUCCGGAGGGCAUGCCUGUUUGAGCGUCGUUUCUCCCUCAAACCGCUGGGUUUGGUGUUGAGCAAUACGACUUGGGUUUGCUUGAAAGACGGUAGUGGUAAGGCGGGAUCGCUUUGACAAUGGCUUAGGUCUAACCAAAAACAUUGCUUGCGGCGGUAAGGUCCACCACGUAUAUCUUCAAACUUGACCUCAAAUCAGG
rnacentral:rRNA from 1 species